AACGAACGCUGGCGGCAUGCCUAACACAUGCAAGUCGAACGAGACCUUCGGGUCUAGUGGCGCACGGGUGCGUAACGCGUGGGAACCUGCCCUUAGGUUCGGAAUAACUCCCCGAAAGGGGUGCUAAUACCGGAUAAUGUCUUCGGACCAAAGAUUUAUCGCGUUUGGAUGGGCCCGCGUUGGAUUAGCUAGUUGGUAGGGUAAAAGCCUACCAAGGCGACGAUCCAUAGCUGGUCUGAUAGGAUGCUCAGCCACACUGGGACUGAGACACGGCCCAGACUCCUACGGGAGGCAGCAGUGGGGAAUAUUGGACAAUGGGCGAAAGCCUGAUCCAGCAAUGCCGCGUGAGUGAUGAAGGCCUUAGGGUUGUAAAGCUCUUUUACCCGGAAUGAUAAUGACAGUACCGGGAGAAUAAGCACCGGCUAACUCCGUG
rnacentral:rRNA from 1 species